CUUAAACCUAACUGUGGCAAGCUGAAACAGCAGAAAUUGAAGUAAAAGGGACUUGUAAUCAGAGUAAACUUUCAAGUCAAGCUUUUUUUUAACCUUCCCCCCUCGUUUUUUUUGGUGCAGGAUUCCAGAGGGAAACCACAAAGCCUGGAAUUUUACUGAAGCCUACACAAUUGCAUGAUUAAAGUUCACCAUGUAUUCUAUGAACAUGAGUCAUAAGGGGGGCACGACUAUCCCGAGCCUGUCACAAUACAAAGAGGCUCCAAGUGGAUAAAUUCACCUCUCAAUCUGGCAGAAAUGGAGCUACUCGGGGAACUGAAUGCCUGUAAUUUGUCUACAAUCCAUCAACUCCAGCAUGCAGUGACCGUCCAGGAACUUGGCACAACUUCCACAACUCCAAACAAUGGUAGAAAAAGCACUUAAAUAGUUCUUUUAAUGCUGAUCUUGAACAAG